rnacentral:rRNA from 1 species
AGUGAACGCUGGCGGUAGGCCUAACACAUGCAAGUCGAACGGCAGCACAGUAAGAGCUUGCUCUUACGGGUGGCGAGUGGCGGACGGGUGAGGAAUACAUCGGAAUCUACUUUUUCGUGGGGGAUAACGUAGGGAAACUUACGCUAAUACCGCAUACGACCUACGGGUGAAAGCAGGGGAUCUUCGGACCUUGCGCGAUUGAAUGAGCCGAUGUCGGAUUAGCUAGUUGGCGGGGUAAAGGCCCACCAAGGCGACGAUCCGUAGCCGGUCUGAGAGGAUGAUCAGCCACACUGGAACUGAGACACGGUCCAGACUCCUACGGGAGGCAGCAGUGGGGAAUAUUGGACAAUGGGCGCAAGCCUGAUCCAGCCAUACCGCGUGGGUGAAGAAGGCCUCCGGGUUGUAAAGCCCUUUUGUUGGGAAAGAAAAGCAGCAGGUUAAUACCCCGCUGUUCUGACGGUACCCAAAGAAUAAGCACCGGCUAACUUCGUG